GCGACUCGCCGAAUGAGUUUCUGACCUAUCAACUCGAGACGGCGGGGUAGAGGCCCCGCCGCGGUAACGACGGGUAACGGGGAAUCAGGGUUCGAUUCCGGAGAGGGGAGCCCGAGAAACGGCUACCACUUCCAAGGAAGGCAGCAGGCGCGCAACUUACCCUAAUCUCGAUUCGAGGAGGUAGUGACAAGAAAUACCGAUGCGGGACCCUACGGGUGCCGCGUUCGGAAUGAGUACGAUUCGAACCACCUAACGAGGAACGAUCGGAGGGCAAGUCUGGUGCCAGCAGCCGCGGUAAUUCCAGCUCCAAUAGCGUACGUUAAAGUUGCUGCAGUUAAAAAGCUCGUAGUUGAACGUUCGGGUUCCGCGGGACGGGGCCGCCCCGCGAGGGACGGCGCCGCCCCGGGGCUCGUCGAUAUCUCAUCUCGCCGCCCGUCGCGAGGCGGACGGACGGGAGUGGA
rnacentral:rRNA from 1 species